AGGUGGACUUGUGGAGUUUGGGUGUGUUGUGCUACGAAUUUCUGGUGGGCGUUCCACCCUUUGAGACGGAGGACUCGAGAGCUACCUACAAAAGAAUCAGCCAAGUAGACUUGCAGUUCCCGCCGAGCGUCUCCGAGCUCGCCCAAGAUUUAAUCUCUAAGCUUUUGAAAAAGAAUCCUGCCGAAAGACUUUCCCUUGAAAACGUUCUAAAGCACCACUGGAUAGUGCAAAAUACCUAAAAAUUAAUUGCUUUUGUUUAGCAAACUUUUUUUUGAACUGACGAAAUGCUGCGUAAAAAAGAUCUGAAGUACUUUCGCUGCUUUCAUCUCGAGAAUUAGCCAAGUUUGUUACGCUGAAAGAGAUUCGGCCAAACUUAAUUUUUUUAAUGACCAACAAAUACAUAAAGGAAUAAAGAAC